UACGUAGGGACCGAGCGUUGUCCGGAUUCAUUGGGCGUAAAGAGCUCGUAGGCGGCCACUCAAGUCGAAUGUGAAACCUCGAGGCUUAACCUCGAGCCUGCAUUCGAUACUGGGCGGCUAGAGUCUGGUAGGGGGAUCUGGAAUUCCUGGUGUAGCGGUGGAAUGCGCAGAUAUCAGGAGGAACACCGGUGGCGAAGGCGGAUCUCUGGGCCUUACCUGACGCUCAGGCGCGAAAGCUAGGGGAGCGAACUGG
rnacentral:rRNA from 1 species